AACGUAGGAGACAAACGUUAUCCGGAGUUACUGGGCGUAAAGGGCGUGCAGGCGGCCAAUUAAGUUCGGCGUGAAAGCUCCUGGCUAAACCGGGAGAGGUCGUCGGAGACUGGAUGGCUAGAGGGUGAUAGAGGCGGGUGGAAUUCCGGGUGUAGUGGUGAAAUGCGUAGAGAUCCGGAGGAACACCAGUGGCGAAGGCGACCCGCUGGGUCACACCUGACGCUGAGACGCGACAGCAUGGGGAGCGAACGGG
rnacentral:rRNA from 1 species